ncrna:Treponema denticola ATCC 35405 TD-2 RNA
ACCGCCAUGGACGGCAGUGGUUCCAAACUUCCAGGAGUUUUAGACGCAAGUCUAAAACUCUAAGAUGAAAAAUGUACAGGACGUACAUUCUUCAACCGGC